rnacentral:rRNA from 1 species
GAUGAACGCUGGCGGCGUGCCUAAUACAUGCAAGUCGAGCGAACGGACGAGAAGCUUGCUUCUCUGAUGUUAGCGGCGGACGGGUGAGUAACACGUGGAUAACCUACCUAUAAGACUGGGAUAACUUCGGGAAACCGGAGCUAAUACCGGAUGAUAUUUUGAACCGCAUGGUUCAAAAGUGAAAGACGGUCUUGCUGUCACUUAUAGAUGGAUCCGCGCUGCAUUAGCUAGUUGGUAAGGUAACGGCUUACCAAGGCAACGAUGCAUAGCCGACCUGAGAGGUGGAUCGGCCACACUGGAACUGAGACACGGUCCAGACUCCUACGGGAGGCAGCAGUAGGGAAUCUUCCGCAAUGGGCGAAAGCCUGACGGAGCAACGCCGCGUGGGUGAUGAAGGUCUUCGGAUCUUAAAACUCUGUUAUUAGGGAAGAACAUAUGUGUAAGUAACUGUGCACAUCUUGACGGUACCUAAUCAGAAAGCCACGGCUAACUACGUG